rnacentral:rRNA from 1 species
AAUAGAUACCCCGGUAGUCCACGCCGUAAACGAUGGAUACUAGCUGUUGGGCGCAAGUUCAGUGGCUAAGCGAAAGUGAUAAGUAUCCCACCUGGGGAGUACGUUCGCAAGAAUGAAACUCAAAGGAAUUGACGGGGGCCCGCACAAGCGGUGGAGCAUGUGGUUUAAUUCGAUGAUACGCGAGGAACCUUACCAAGGCUUAAAUGUAGAUUGACCGGUUUGGAAACAGAUCUUUCGCAAGACAAUUUACAAGGUGCUGCAUGGUUGUCGUCAGCUCGUGCCGUGAGGUGUCAGGUUAAGUCCUAUAACGAGCGCAACCCCUGUUGUUAGUUGCCAGCGAGUCAAGUCGGGAACUCUAACAAGACUGCCAGUGCAAACUGUGAGGAAGGUGGGGAUGACGUCAAAUCAUCACGGCCCUUACGCCUUGGGCUACACACGUGCUACAAUGGCCGGUACAGAGAGCAGCCACUGGGUGACCAGGAGCGAAUCUAUAAAACCGGUCACGUACG